UGGGGGUCAGUGAAAACCGAUACACGAGUAAAUUUGAGCUACUAAAAGGAACAAACACAAUUCCACCCCCAC
rnacentral:tRNA from 1 species